rnacentral:rRNA from 1 species
CACGUAGGGUGCGAGCGUUGUCCGGAAUUACUGGGCGUAAAGGGCUCGUAGGCGGCCAACUAAGUCAGACGUGAAAUCCCUCGGCUUAACCGGGGAACUGCGUCUGAUACUGGAUGGCUUGAGGUUGGGAGAGGGAUGCGGAAUUCCAGGUGUAGCGGUGAAAUGCGUAGAUAUCUGGAGGAACACCGGUGGCGAAGGCGGCAUCCUGGACCAAUUCUGACGCUGAGGAGCGAAAGCCAGGGGAGCAAACGGGG